CCGACUGUUUUUUGUUGUCUCCUAUGCGGUGCGCUCUGAUCUCCGGGGAGCAAAAGCAAAACGCUCUCUCUCCCUUUCUCUCUCUAGUUCCCCAAUUUUCUAGGGUUUUAGCUCGUCGUUUCAAUCCGUUUUGAUUCUCCUAGGGUUGGGGUUUUAGGAUCUUCCGCAGAGAAGAAACAAUGGGAGGAGAGUGGCAGCAGCUCCUCCAAUCGAUAAUCCUCGGCCUCAUUUUCUCUCCUUCCUCCUCGCCAAGCUUAUCGCCAUAGUCAUCUCCUUCAAGGAAGACAAUCUCAGCCUCGCUCGCGCUCGCACUGCCGCCCCCGCCGAUACCAAUCCGCCGCCGCCCAAACCCGAGCCCUGCGACGACCCGCCUCGCUCCGCCGAUUUGAGCUCCGCGGCAAUCGAGGCCGAAUCGGUCGUCGCCGAGCACGGCAGCGUCAGGAACGAGAGCAGCGAAGGUGACAGUGAUGAUGACUGGGAAGGUGUGGAGAGUACGGAAUUGGACAAGCUGUUCAGCGCGGCGUCGGCGUUUGUCGCGGCGGCCGCGACGGAUCGGCAGAAGGUGUCGACUGAUGCGCAGUUGAAGCUUUAUGGGCUUUACAAGAUUGCUACUGAGGGUCCCUGCAGCGUGCCGCAGCCAUCGGCUCUGAAAAUGACUGCUCGCGCCAAAUGGCAAGCUUGGCAGAAAUUGGGUGCUAUGCCUCCUGAAGAUGCUAUGGAGAAGUACAUUGAUAUUGUCACAGAGCUUUAUCCUAACUGGGCAGCAGGUUUGACUGUGAAAAGCAGAGGAGGUGGAGAUGGUAGUGCACCUGGUAAUGAUUCUAAAGGACCAAUGGGACCGGUUUUCAGCACCUUUGUUUACGAGGAAGAAUCUGAAAAGGAUCUAAAGAUGGAUGCUAUUCAUGCCUUUGCCAGAGAAGGGGAAGUGGAUAAUUUGCUUAAAUGCAUUGAAAGUGGUGUUUCAGUGGAUCAGAAAGAUGGUGAGGGAAGGACCCCAUUGCAUUGGGCUGUGGAUCGUGGGCACCUGAACACGACAGAGCUGCUUGUUAACAAGAAUGCCAACAUUAAUGAAAAGGACAAUGAGGGCCAAACUGCAUUGCACUAUGCGGUUACGUGCGAUAGAGAAGGCAUACCUUGUGAAGCAAAAUGCCGACACGAGUGCAAAGGACAACGAUGGCAACUCUCCAAGUGAUAUCUGUGAGUCAAACUGGCCUUGGUUGCAGGUUGCAAAGGAGAAGAGUCACUGACCGACCACGGUUUACUUUGGUUUUCUACGGCCGUAGUGUUUUUUAAAUAUUCCUGGGGGAUGUAUAUUGGUGAUGUAUUAUAACCCCAAUCUUUUCCUAAUCUGUUGUCUUCUGAAAAGAUUUCAAAAGAUAGAGCUGUAUGUGUAUGUAGUUUUCUACCUCGUCGUUGUGUAACCUCCGUUUUUUAGGGUUACUCGUUUUCCCUAUCGUGGAAGUGAAGGGAAAGGUUGAAAUCACUGGGUGUAACUAGUACGGUAUAGUGCAUAUCAAAGGCCUACUUUUUGCCACCGA